GAUGAACGCUGACAGAAUGCUUAACACAUGCAAGUCUUUGGCGAAGCUGUGCUUGCACAGCCUAGCCAAGGCGGACGGGUGAGUAACGCGUAAGGAACUUGCCCUGCAGUCAGGGAUAACAGACGGAAACGACUGAUAAGACCUGGUAAAGUCAGGCGGACUCAUGUCCAGCCUGAUGAAAAGAGAUGCUGUAGGAGAGCCUUGCGUCCUAUUAGCUUGUUGGUGGGGUAACGGCCCACCAAGGCGAUGAUAGGUAGCCGGCCUGAGAGGGUGGACGGCCACAAGGGGACUGAGAUACGGCCCUUACUCCUACGGGAGGCAGCAGUGGGGAAUAUUGGACAAUGGGGGCAACCCUGAUCCAGCAAUUCUGUGUGCACGAUGAAGGUUUUCGGAUUGUAAAGUGCUUUCAGCAGGGAAGAAAAAAAUGACGGUACCUGCAGAAGAAGCGACGGCUAAAUACGUG
rnacentral:rRNA from 1 species